rnacentral:tRNA from 1 species
GGGCCGCUAGCUCAAUCAGGCAGAGCAACUGACUCUUAAUCAGUAGGUUCGGGGUUCGAUUCCCUGGCGGCUCA